rnacentral:tRNA from 1 species
GUCCUCUUAGUUAAAUGGAUAUAACGAGCCCCUCCAAGAGCCCCUCCUAAGGGCUAAUUGCAGGUUCGAUUCCUGCAGGGGACACCA